rnacentral:lncRNA from 10 species
UUGGAUACCUGGUUCUCCUCUGGCCUCUUCCCCUUAUCCAUUUUGGGCUGGCCCAACCAGGUGUGUUCCUGGGGCCGGGGCUUGGCGGGACAGGGGACUGGAGGGUGGGUGUUGGCUCCCCUUCACACCCUGGUCUGCCCUCAGUCAGAAGACCUGAGUGUGUUCUACCCCGGGACACUGCUGGAGACCGGUCAUGACAUCCUCUUCUUCUGGGUGGCCCGGAUGGUCAUGCUGGGCCUGAAGCUCACGGGCAGGCUGCCCUUUAGAGAGGUGCGGAGACAGCCGAGACCCUCCCAUCGCCCCCAGCCUCCUCUCCUACCGUCCUGUGCUGCAGCGCAGACCCCGCGUGGCUGGGGCAUGGGGUUAGCUGUGGGCAGGCCUGACCCGGGGGCUGGUGUGGGGUUGAAAUCCAGCCUGGGCCCUGCUCAGUGAUUCCUGUGCCCAGGGCUUCAUCUUCCCAGAGGAAGGAGUGCUUCUGAUUCACAUAAAGGCGCUCAACGAGCUCUUGGGGACACUCAGUGGGACCUGAGGUUCACAGUGGGGUAGACCAGACACAGUCCUGGUCGGGGCACUGAGGCCGGGGAAGGAGAGGACUGAGUCUCAUGGGCCUCCCCACCUGCUCUGCAGGUCUACCUCCAUGCCAUCGUGCGAGAUGCUCACGGCCGGAAGAUGAGCAAGUCUCUAGGCAAUGUCAUCGAUCCCCUGGACGUCAUCUAUGGAAUCUCCCUGCAGGGCCUCCACAACCAGCUGCUGAACAGCAACCUGGAUCCCAGCGAGGUGGAGAAGGCCAAAG